AUGUUUUCUGUACUGGAAUCUGAAUAUGUUGAGGGGUUGAAGGACAAAGAUGAUGCAUUUAUGAGUGUAGAAGCAGAGGCAGAUGCAGAAGCAGCGGCUGCAGAAGCAGGAGAUGAAUCAUUCUUACGUAGCAUCAUUGAAGAUGAAGAUGCCGAAGCAAAAGUUGGUGAAGGUGCCAAUCCAGAAGCUGCUCAAGAUGACAAGCCAAAAGGACGGAAGCAAAUGGCGUCAAGAUCACAAAUCUGGGAGCAUUUUACCAAAGUUUUUGAUGACAAGGGGUUAGUGAAGGAAGGAAAAUAUUGA
rnacentral:rRNA from 1 species